CUCGUGUCACCCCACCCGGGUCAGGCUCUCCGCUGUGACAGGCAGAAACAGGACAUGACCUUUGCAGACCAAUGCCAAGGAGCAUCAGGGCCCAAGCCGUGGGAGGCCGGGGUGGGGGAUCGAGGGCCUUCAGUGCUCUUUGUGGCCUGGGUCCAAAUGACCACACGUGACAGGGGACAAGGGAAGAGAGGGCCGUCACCAGACUAGGGUUUCGCAGUUAUGGGCGCCUCCCGUGCCCAGAGUCUCUGCGGCUUCCUCCACAGCUGCCGUUGCGUUCGAUGGGACUCUGUCGGAGGGACACUGUCACUGCCUGGGUGACCCUGAGCUGAGAGAUCUCACUGCUGCCAAGGUUAUCCGAUCCCAUCUCCGGCUCAGAUCCACUGAACCUGACCUUUGCCCAGUAAAGCAGAACGUCUCUCGCUUAUCUUGAGCUUGGACCAAGAAGGAACAUGGAUAAUCAAAACCACAAGCAGAAAUGGCCGAGAUACAGCACGUUCUGGGUUUUUUCUGCCGAGAAAGGGGAACAGCGAGGAUUAGUGCUGGGGUCACGAGACGCAGUUCUGGGACCCAGGGCCCCGUCCCUACUAGUCGAGGGCCCCACCACCGAGCCUCGCUCCUAGCCUCCCGCCACCUGCCUCUUGAUGUUGAGACGGAGUGUUGCGCAGUGUUGGAGGCUGGCCUCAAACUUGAGAUGUUCCUGCCUCAGCCUCCCGAGUCGCGGGGAUCACGGAGUGUCCCUCCACACCUGGCGCAUACUGGACACCUGGUGGUGGCAUGUAUUGAAUAAAUCAAAUUAUUUCGAA